UGCAAAAAACAAAGACUCUUUACCGCUUGGAUAGCAAAAACAAAAGACUUUUCACCUAUAAAUUGACGCGACUUAAAGAUUGAUAGAUGAAGAUCCAAACCAACUUUCCCCUCUUUUUCUUUACCAUCGUAGAUUUCGUCCCGCAAGUGGCCGACAAAAACAAAAAGACUUUGUCCACUGCACAUGCCUUCGCAGCUUUAUAAUCACAACACAAAACACAGACUUGGAUAAUCAACUUUGUAUGUUUCUGAGUUGAGAAGACAUGAAUAUGCCUUUGGCUCUGGUUGUUUCUCCCCUCCUCCUCCUACUCUUGUUGUUUCUCUCUGCACUCCCUUCUUCCCAACUGUCUUCUCCUCCUCCUUCCUAUGAUUCUGAUCUAGAAUCUCUGCUGGCUUUUAAGCACUCCCUUUCCCUCGACCCCUACGAUUCCUUGCGUGAUUGAGUCUCCUCGCCACUCCUUUUGCAACUGGACUGGGAUUCUCUGCUCUUCUCGCCACCAGCGUGUACUUUCUUUGAAUCUCACUGGUCCUCAUACUAUCCUAUAACCUUUUGAGCAACACCAUCCCUUCUCAGCUUAGCCUUCUUUCACAAUUAGAAAUCCUUUUUUUUAGGAGGAAAUCAAUUGACAGGCACAAUCCCACCUUUCUUAGGAAACCUAUCUUCUUUAAUUAAAUUGGUAUUGGAAAAAAAUAGACUCCAUGGUAGUAUUCUCAUUGAAUUGGUUAUGCUCAGAAUACUUUAUCUUUGGGAAAACAACCUUACAGGCACAAUCCCACCUCUCCUAGGAAAUCUAUCCUCUCUAACUGACUUGGAGUUAUCAAACAACAAACUCCAUGGUACUAUUCCUAUUGAAUUGGGUAUGCUUACUCAACUCAAACAACUUUAUCUUUUGGGAAACAACCUCACAGGCACAAUCCCACCCUUCCUAGGAAAUCUAUCCUCUUUAACUAACUUGGAGUUAGCAAACAACAAACUUCAUGGUAAUAUUCCUAUUGAAUUGGGUAUGCUUACUCGACUCAAAAAACUUUAUCUUUGGGGAAACAACCUCACAGGCACAAUCCCACCCUUCCUAGGAAAUUUAUCCUCUUCAACUGAAUUAGAGUUAGCAAGCAACAAACUUCAUGGUAAUAUUCCUAUUGAAUUGGGUAUGCUUACUCAACUCAAAAAACUUUAUCUUUGGGGAAACAACCUCACAGGCACAAUCCCACCCUUCCUAGGAAAUCUAUCCUCUUUAACUGACUUGGAGUUAGCAAACAACAAACUUCAUGGUGAUAUUCAUAUUGAAUUGAGUAUGCUUACUCAACUCAAAAUACCGAGUCUUUCACGAAACAACCUGUCAGGUAGAAUUCCACCUUCCCUUGGAAACUUGUCCUCUUUAAUUGAAUUGUAUUUGCAUGAAAACAAACUCCAUGGUUGCAUUCCUACUGAAUUGGGUAUGCUAACUCAACUCAAAAAGCUUUAUCUUAGAUCCAAUAGAUUGACAGGAUUGAUUCCAUGAGAAAUCCUAAGCUCCCUCUCUAAUUGUAUUUGGGAACAAAAUACUCAAAAAAUGUGACUAAGUGAAAACAUGCUUUCAAAGCAAUUUCUAGAUGGUCUUGAUGAUGUUCCACAAGUAAGAUAUCUUGUUAGAUUGAUCAUGAUGUAUUGUGAGGAAAAUACUUCUUAAUUCAAGGAGAUGUUGAAUGCUGGAGCAAGUGGACCUAUCUCAUAGUUCAAGUUAAGAGGAAAGAAAUAUAUAAUGUUUGGCCAUACUUUAAAAUUGUAAAGAUGGUGUGUAAUAUUUAGUCAUUUAUAUGACAAAUGUAAUUUUUAAUUAAUUUAUGUAGAGAAAUAGAGAAAAAUCCAAAUAAAAGGAGCAUGGAUUUUUAUUCUUAACAA